rnacentral:rRNA from 1 species
UACGUAGGGUGCAAGCGUUAAUCGGAAUUACUGGGCGUAAAGCGUGCGCAGGCGGUUGGAUAAGCCAGAUGUGAAAUCCCCGAGCUCAACUUGGGAACUGCAUUUGGAACUGUCCGACUGGAGUAUGUCAGAGGGGGGUAGAAUUCCACGUGUAGCAGUGAAAUGCGUAGAGAUGUGGAGGAAUACCGAUGGCGAAGGCAGCCCCCUGGGACUGUACUGACGCUCAUGCACGAAAGCGUGGGGAGCAAACAGG